UUGAACGCCGGCGGCAGGCCUAACACAUGCAAGUCGAACGGUAACAGGAAGAAGCUUGCUUCUUUGCUGACGAGUGGCGGACGGGUGAGUAAUGUCUGGGAAACUGCCUGAUGGAGGGGGAUAACUACUGGAAACGGUAGCUAAUACCGCAUAAUGUCGCAAGACCAAAAAGGGGGACCUUCGGGCCUCUUGCCAUCGGAUGUGCCCAGAUGGGAUUAGCUAGUAGGUGGGGUAACGGCUCACCUAGGCGACGAUCCCUAGCUGGUCUGAGAGGAUGACCAGCCACACUGGAACUGAGACACGGUCCAGACUCCUACGGGAGGCAGCAGUGGGGAAUAUUGCACAAUGGGCGCAAGCCUGAUGCAGCUAUGCCGCGUGUAUGAAGAAGGCCUUCGGGUUGUAAAGUACUUUCAGCGGGGAGGAAGGGAGUAAAGUUAAUACCUUUGCUCAUUGACGUUACCCGCAGAAGAAGCACCGGCUAACUCCGUG
rnacentral:rRNA from 1 species